GGACUACUGGGGUUUCUAAUCCUGUUUGCUCCCCACGCUUUCGCGCCUCAGCGUCAGUUACAGACCAAAGAGCCGCCUUCGCCACUGGUGUUCCUCCAUAUCUCUGCGCAUUUCACCGCUACACAUGGAAUUCCGCUCUUCUCUUCUGCACUCAAGUCCCCCAGUUUCCAAUGACCCUCCCCGGUUAAGCCGGGGGCUUUCACAUCAGACUUAAGGGACCGCCUGCGCGCGCUUUACGCCCAAUAAUUCCGGACAACGCUUGCCACCUACGUAUUACCGCGGCGGCUGGCACU
rnacentral:misc_RNA from 1 species